UACCUGGUUGAUCCUGCCAGUAGUCAUAUGCUUGUCUCAAAGAUUAAGCCAUGCAAGUCUAAGUACGAGCUCUCGUACAGUGAAACUGCGAAUGGCUCAUUAAAUCAGUUAUGGUUCAUUUGAUCGUACAGUUUACUUGGAUAACUGUGGUAAUUCUAGAGCUAAUACAUGCGAGAAGCGCCGACCUCGCGGGAGGCGUGCAUUUAUCAGACCAAAAACCGGCCGCGUCUUCGGGCGCGUUCGCCUUGGUGACUCUGGAUAACUUUGCGGAUCGCACGGUCUAGCACCGGCGACGGAUCAUUCAAGUGUCUGCCCUAUCAACUUUCGUCGGUACGGUAUUUGCCUACCGAGGUUCUUACGGGUGACGGGGAAUCAGGGUUCGAUUCCGGAGAGGGAGCCUGAGAAACGGCUACCACAUCCAAGGAAGGCAGCAGGCGCGCAAAUUACCCAUUCCCGACGCGGGGAGGUAGUGACGAAAAAUAACAAUGCAGGACUCGUUCGAGGGCCCUGUAAUUGGAAUGAGUACACUUUAUAAGCUUUAACGAGUAUC
rnacentral:ncRNA from 1 species